rnacentral:rRNA from 1 species
UACGAAGGGGGCUAGCGUUGCUCGGAAUCACUGGGCGUAAAGGGUGCGUAGGCGGGUCUUUAAGUCAGAGGUGAAAUCCUGGAGCUCAACUCCAGAACUGCCUUUGAUACUGGGUGUCUUGAGUUCGGAAGAGGUGAGUGGAAUUGCGAGUGUAGAGGUGAAAUUCGUAGAUAUUCGCAGGAACACCAGUGGCGAAGGCGGCUCACUGGUCCGAUACUGACGCUGAGGUGCGAAAGCGUGGGGAGCAAACAGG